AACGAACGCUUGCUGCAUGCUUUAUACAUGCAAGUCGAACGGAGGCCCUAGCUUGCUAGGUGUCCUUAGUGGCGCACGGGUGAGUAACACGUGGGAACAUACCUCAUAGUACGGAAUAACUGCGGGAAACUGUAGCUAAUACCGUAUAUUCCAGUAAUGGGAAAGAUUUAUCGCUAUGAGAUUGGCCCGCGCAAGAUUAGCUUGUUGGUGAGGUAAUGGCUCACCAAGGCUCCGAUCUUUAGCUGGUUUGAGAGGACGAUCAGCCACACUGGGACUGAGACACGGCCCAGACUCCUACGGGAGGCAGCAGUAGGGAAUAUUGGACAAUGGGGGAAACCCUGAUCCAGCAAUGCAGCGUGAGUGACGAAGGCCUUAGGGUUGUAAAACUCUUUCAUCGGUGAGGAUAAUGACAGUAGCCGAAGAAGAAGGACCGGCUAAUUCCGUGCCAGCAGA
rnacentral:rRNA from 1 species